rnacentral:lncRNA from 1 species
GGGCAGAAGCUUCCGGCUACCAACUUCCCCAGGACCGCUCACCCCACCCUCGCCCCCAAGAGGUCUGGUUCUUUAAGCAGAGGCAGAUCACGCUGCACCGGUCCGGUCUGUAGGUUUUCUCUGUGUGGCCACACUACUAUCCUGUAAUGAGCUCUGAAGACCAGGCUGGCCAAGCACUCAGAGAUUUGCUUCUUCUGCCUCUGGAGUGGUGGGAUUAAAAGCGAGCACCACAGCCAGGCUCACAAUCAACUCUUAGCAAUAUCUCCAGCUGAUUUGUGUUCAUGUUUGCACGGAGAGUGCUCCACUACAACAGACAUAUGCCUCCUGGGGUCGUUCAGGGUUUUUGCUGUGUAGAUCAUGCUGGCCCAGUCCUCUUACCACAGCCUCCAGACUGCUGGCUUACAGGAAUGUGUCACCAUAUGCUGCGUUAAUGUUUCUUAUGUGUGGGAUCAUACAGUGUAUAAUUUUGUCAAGACUUGCUACUUUGACACAGCAUGGAUUUUGAAUCUCAUCCAAGUUCUGGCACUUGCCAUUAGUUAAUUUUCAUCACUGCUGAA